CAGAAAAGGAUGCAUUGCAGUGACCACAGGAAAAGGGACACACUCCUGUGUGGGUACGCAUAUGUUUUUUGAGGCUGACAUUAUGACAGAAAGAUGCAUUGCAGUGGACGCAGGUAAAGGGACGCUCUCCUGUGUGGGUGCGCAUGUGGUCAAUGAGCGCAUGUUUCCGCGGAAAAGAUGCAUUGCACUGGACACAAGAAAAAGGACGCUCUCCUGUGUGGGUGCGCAUGUGGUCAAUGAGCGCAUGUUUCCGCGGAAAGGAUGCAUUGCAGUGGACACAGGAAAAAGGACGCUCUCCCGUGUGGGUGCGCAGGUGCUCCUUUAGGUGCCCAUUCUUAAUAAAUACGGCUGGACACAGGUGGCACUGGAAUGGGCGCUCGCCCGUAUGUGUGCGAACAUGGUUUUCCAUGUGCGUCUUCUUUUUGGUCACAUAGGUGCACUGCCGGCAGGAAUGCCAUCCGCCUUGUACGGACACGAGUGAACUGUACUGCUCCUUGGAAGCCAAGGACAAGGAACCUGCAAAGCCACAGGGUAGACGGGAAGGCGAUGCAAACAAUGUGUCACACUCAGCAUGGAAACGCACUGCAGCAAGAGGCAAUCAAUUUGUGAGUACCCGAGAACAUUGCCCCACUCGCAACACGUUACAGUACAAGUGCAGUGACCAUGUAUACAUGUCUCACACAUUUCGAACUUUAUGUACACAGAUACCAUGUUCAGUACAUAGGAACACUUGCUUCCAAUACCCUGAAGUCUGAUUCAGAUGCAAUUUUGA